rnacentral:rRNA from 1 species
AUUGAACGCUGGCGGCAUGCUUUACACAUGCAAGUCGAACGGCAGCACGGGGGCAACCCUGGUGGCGAGUGGCGAACGGGUGAGUAAUACAUCGGAACGUGCCCAGUCGUGGGGGAUAACGUAGCGAAAGCUACGCUAAUACCGCAUACGAUCUAUGGAUGAAAGCGGGGGACCGUACGGCCUCGCGCGAUUGGCGCGGCCGAUGGCAGGUUAGGUAGUUGGUGGGGUAAAGGCUCACCAAGCCUGCGAUCUGUAGCUGGUCUGAGAGGACGACCAGCCACACUGGGACUGAGACACGGCCCAGACUCCUACGGGAGGCAGCAGUGGGGAAUUUUGGGCAAUGGGCGCAAGCCUGAUCCAGCCAUUCCGCGUGCAGGAUGAAGGCCUUCGGGUUGUAAACUGCUUUUGUACGGAACGAAAAGGCUCUUUCUAAUACAGAGGGCUCAUGACGGUACCGUAAGAAUAAGCACCGGCUAACUACGUGCCAGCCGCCGCCGUAAAAC